rnacentral:rRNA from 1 species
UACGUAGGUGACAAGCGUUAUCCGGAAUUACUGGGCGUAAAGCGCACGCAGGCGGCGCGGUAAGUCUGAUGUGAAAUCUCCCGGCUUAACUGGGAGGGGUCAUUGGAAACUGCCGAGCUUGAGGCGAUGAGAGGGGUGUAGAAUUCCCGGUGUAGUGGUGGAAUGCGUAGAUAUCGGGGGGAAUACCAGUGGCGAAAGCGGCACCCUAGCGUUAGCCUGACGCUCAUGUGCGAAAGCGUGGGGAGCGAACGGG